CUCGGAGCCACCUUUUUCUCCUCUUGCCCGUGCCAUUUCGCUGCCUUCGCUCGCACCGCCGCACCACCGCCUCCGCCUGGAUGGCCCCCGCUGCCUUCCGCGCAGCCGUCGCGGCCCUCCGGCAGAGGGCCGCCGGACCCGUCCCGUCCCGCGCCACUGGGCCCCGGAUGGAGCGGACUCUCUCCACGGGAAGCGCCUGCGCCGCGGGCCCAAGGAGGUUUGCAGGUACAAUCCUAAGAAGACUGACGCUGUCAUCGAGGAAUUGAAGAAAAAUACCCAGGCGGCUAAUGAUGAGAGGGAGGAGCUAAUAAAGGCAAUUAAGAACCUUGAGACAAAGCAAACGAAGCCUUGGUUCAACUCUACAAUUAAAGGACGUCUACUGGACUGGCCGGGCCUGAUUGCCCUGACGCUGGCGGCUGGAGAGAUCGUGAGUAAAAUUUGGGGUUGAGCUGCACGUAAGGCUAUAGGUAAAUGAAGAAUGAAGACUAUUUUUCUUCUCUGUAGGAUGUACGUAACCGAAGGUGGAAGACUUUUGCUGCAAUGAGUAGUGAAUGAUGUGGCUAUACAGAAACACGAAUUGGACAGACAUACAUACAUCACUAGUAUCUGGUGUCGAAAACGGGAAAUGGAGUUAACUGUGUGCACGGUUGAAUGUUUUGGCCAAUGACGUGUAGGACGAUGGUGUGCGGUGGGUGCUCGCAAUCCCAGAAGUGAAGUUUUCCUAUCCUGUGCAUUUGCAGUUUUUGUUUAAUGAGGCUUGGCUAUCGAUUGCAUUUGCUGCUGCUUGCUGUGCAUUUGCUGUUGCUGUUUUGUUUCCGUAUGCAUGCAUGCAUGCACCGGUGAGAGGUUAGCGUAGCAUAGCAGGACCGAGGGUCCAAGCAAGCUACAGAUUUGCUUUUAACCACGAUUACAUAAGGAACCUUUACAUUUUGUUUCCGUUGGUGGUCUCUACGUGUCAGUCAGUUGGUGGGUGGAAAGCCAUUGCUUACUCCGGCCCAGCUGUGUGCUUCUCUGCCUGCUGUUCUAGUUCUAGGCUUUGCUGCUUGGUGUCGCCUGUGAGAGGAAAAUCGAGUUUGGGAGGCCGCCGUGGUAGGCGGCGUGUGGGGUGUUGGGCACCGCUUCCAGAGGAGGCUUUUCCCUGCCCUGCGGUCGACGGCGUUUCGCUCGAGCUGCGCUUUGCCUUGGGCUUGCUAGUUCUCCGGCCAGGUGCGUUCCUUGGACGCCGGCCGGAGACCAGGCGUUGGCGUUCGGGGACCGUGGUCAGGGCAAUCGGUGGCUCUCGUGCUAUAGUGGCCGUCGGUGCUGGUGCUGGGCCUGGGCGGCACGGCACGACAGCUGGUGGGAGGCUAUGCGGGGGCGCCGGCGGCCAGAAAGCCAGGCGCGCGCCAACUGCGGUAGGAGAAGGGGCAUGCCGGUGGCCGGCAUCGGCUGCAACCAUGCGGAGGCAGUAGUACAAUCUACGAUCUUGGCUUUGGCGACUUGGUCAGGUGGGGCGCGAGGGUGCUUGGGUGGGUGGAGAAUUGGGAAGAGUCUCGCGUUCAAUCUCUUCUGGUUCGAACGGACUUGGGAUGAUUCUCGCGUUCUUGUUCUGGGCGAGGGGCCUUACUGCUCCUGUCUGAGACAAGGUUCUUCUUGUGAUUUGGGUUCAGGGGGGAAUUGAUGACAGGAGAAGAAGGUAGAGGCUGAGCUGAGGUGAGACAGGCUUUGGCAUUAGGUGCAGGCAGUUGCUAGCUGAGCCGUUCCUCUGUGUUUUCUGGGCAGCCGCUGUGGAGGCCAGGUACGUCGCUGGCGGCGAGGGUGCACUGGCACUUGAAGCGGCUCAACAAGCCAAGCCGGCCCUUCUUGAAUUCAAUUUUGACAUCUUAUUUCAUUGUGGCCACUGAACUUUUGUGUUCAUGCACUUCAGCAGAUGGGCCAGCACGGAGAAUGGUGAUUUCUUUGGCGUGAACUGCUUCUUUAUUUUGGGCCUUGUUCUUGGGAUUGGGGUUAAUUAUCAUCUUUCUUCCUGUUGAUUUGGUAUAUACUACUGUACUGUAGCUGCGUUUUCUAGAAUUUGACCAAGCUUGGGUAGAAGCUGUAUUUUCCAAAUUCAGAAAAGAUUGCCUUUUCUCUUUUUCUUUUGGUUUUUUAUUCGUGGUGCUAUUUUCCAUUGCUACUCUGCUUCUGUUUUCUAAAUGUCAGCGUUUGGUGAUGGAGUAGGCAAAUUCAAGCAAAGUGGAGCAGGAAGAUGAGAUUUGCAUCCAUCCGGACUGUUUUUUGCCAAAAUAGCCUCCAGUUGAAAAAGAGCAAAACCUUCUGUUUCUUUGUUAACAUUUCACCACCUACCGAAAUGAGCAGCUUUUCAGUGCAAAAGAUGAGUAUAUAGUUCAACAAUGUCUUGCUGCAUGCCAUCUUACGUUGCAUUUUUAUUGGAAGAUGCAAGUUUGAGAUUUAAGUUCUGCACACUGGCAAGAACAGUGCAUUUUCUUUUUCGGACUCAGAUAUGCUGUAACAUGUUUUUUCUUCUCAUUACUGUAUGUUUACAAAAUGCGCAGAGUCCAGAUGGAGGCAUCAUCGAUUGCGUGCACAUAUCACAACAACCUGCCUUUGUUCAUCGUCCCCUCAAGAAACAUGCUCUUCAGGUACAGAAUCCUCCACUUUCCACUUCAGGUACAGAUGGUAGUAAUGGGAUGUGGCCAAUUUGCAAAGUAGGAAUCUGAGGACAUUUUACAUCUUUUAUUCCGAAGUAAUCCAGCCAAGGAAAUUUGGCUGAAAUUGUGAUUGAGCAACUUCAUAUAUGAGGCGAGGAAUGUUCAUCAUUCGGGCUCUGUGGUGGCUGAACACAUACUCCGGCUAGCUAGCUGCUAGUCAGAUGCCUGGUACUGGCUCAUCCGGACUUGUGCUUGCAGGAAGCUAUACUCACAGCUUGUUGGUAUUGCCGAUUAACAACGGUGCUAUGUCUAUAUUGGCCAUUACUUUGAAUUAUACAAAAGCUUCUUCAAAGAUGAUCAUGUUUGUGAGGGAGAAAUGGUCUAAGAUGGUUUUGAGCUUCGUUAAACUGAAUGGCUUCGUAUCGCCCAGAGGAAGGAAGGAGAGCUAUUGAUGCAGUAACCCAUCAUGCCUCGGGUAAUUUUCUGGCAGCCCGAACCAUAUAUGUACCUCAUGCAGCUUCCACGGUGAUCAUGGAGGCAUUUGCCCCAAGACAUCGCUUGUCGUUGCCGAACGAGAUUGGAUGUAAUCGUCUCCAAGCGGAAUCUGAUUGUCUUGAAGUUAUUGAAGCAUGCUCAAGGCAGUAGCAAUGGUAUGAUGAGGCAGCCUUUAUUUA